rnacentral:rRNA from 1 species
GAUGAACGCUGGCGGCGUGCCUAAUACAUGCAAGUCGAGCGAACGGACGAGAAGCUUGCUUCUCUGAUGUUAGCGGCGGACGGGUGAGUAACACGUGGAUAACCUACCUAUAAGACUGGGAUAACUUCGGGAAACCGGAGCUAAUACCGGAUAAUCUUUUGAACCGCAUGGUUCAAAAGUGAAAGACGGUCUUGCUGUCACUUAUAGCUGGAUCCGCGCUGCAUUAGCUAGUUGGUAAGGUAACGGCUUACCAAGGCAACGAUGCAUAGACGACGUGAGAGGGUGAUAGGCCACAAUGGAACGGAGACACGGUCAAGACUCCUAAGGGAGGCAGCAGUAGGGAAUCGUACGCAAUGGGCGAAAGCCUGACGGAGCAACGCCGCGUGAGAGAUGAAGGUCUUGGGAUCGUAAAACUCUGUUAUUAGGGAAGAACAUAUGUGUAAGUAACUGUGCACAUCUUGACGGUACCUAAUCAGAAAGCCACGGCUAACUACGUG